rnacentral:rRNA from 1 species
CUACGGGUGGCAGCAGUCGAGGAUUUUUCUCAAUGGGGGAAACCCUGAAGGAGCGACGCCGCGUGAGGGAUGAAGGUCUUCGGAUUGUAAACCUCUGUCAUCUGGGAACAAUGCGCUCCACCUAACACGUGGAUCGUUGAUAGUACCGGAAGAGGAAGCAGUGGCUAACUCUGUGCCAGCAGCCGCGGUAAUACAGAGACUGCAAGCGUUGUUCGGAUUCAUUGGGCGUAAAGGGUGCGCAGGCGGUGUGCUAAGUCAGAUGUGAAAUCUCACAGCCUAACUGUGAUAGGUCAUUUGAAACUGGCAUGCUAGAGGACUGGAGAGGAGACUGGAAUAGUCGGUGUAGCGGUGAAAUGCGUAGAGAUCGACUAGAACACCGGUGGCGAAGGCGGGUCUCUGGACAGUUCCUGACGCUCAUGCACGAAAGCCAGGGGAGCAAACGGGAUUAGAUACCCCGGUAGUCCUGGCCCUAAACGGUGUUCACUUGGUGUGCGGGGAGUCGACCCCCUGCGUGCCGAAGCUAACGCGAUAAGUGAACCGCCUGGGAAGUACGGUCGCAAGAUUAAAACUCAAAGAAAUUGACGGGGGCCCGCACAAGCGGUGGAGCAUGUGGCUUAAUUCGAUCCUACGCGAAGAACCUUACCUGGCCUUGACAUCUAUCGUGAAAGGUGGUGAAAGCCAUCGACGGCCCGAAAGGGUGCUGGGGAUAGACAGGUGCUGCAUGGUUGUCGUCAGCUCGUGUCGUGAGAUGUUGGCUUAAGUGCCGCAACGAGCGCAACCCCUGUGUUUAGUUACCUGCGCAAGCAGGGUCUCUAAACAGACUGCCUCGCUUUAAACGAGGAGGAAGGUGGGGAUGACGUCAAAUCAGUAUGGCCCUUACGGCCAGGGCUGCACACGUGCUACAAUGCGCGGAACAGAGGGACGCAAGACCGCGAGGUGGAGCCAAUCCCAGAAAUCCGCGCCCAGUUCAGAUUGGAGGCUGCAACUCGCCUCCAUGAAGCCGGAAUCGCUAGUAAUGGCGCAUCAGCUACGGCGCCGUGAAUACGUUCCCGGGCCUUGUACACACCGCCCGUCACAUCAUGGAAGCUGUCUGCACCCGAAGUCGCCACGUUAACCGCAAGGAGACAGGCGCCGAAGGUAUGGAUAGUGACUGGGAUGAAGUCGAAACAAGGUAGCCGUAGGGGAACCUGCGGCUG